CGUUACACAAACAAGUAAAAUAAUUUCAACAUUUGCCCAUUUAUUUCAAAACUGUAACAAGAAGAAAAUCAUAUACAAAGAAAAAAAAGCAGCGAUGAUGUUCUUACAACAUAACAAGAAGCAUCAAUGCUUGAGUGUCAUCAUCUUGGCAGAAUAGCGUAAGCAAUAGUGGUGGAAAGCAGUCUUUCAUGGGUGACGAUCCUUCUUUCUACCAACUCAUUCUUCGAGGCGCAGCUCCUAUCGUUGCCAUGGACAGAAAACUACCCAACACUCAUUUAUCAUUUCCGAAACAUUCAUCAUCUCCUUGUGUCUUUUCGUAGUGGAAAUUGGAUCAUGUGGGUGAAGGAAGGACUGAGGUGGCUCAACUCAUCGCUACUAGUGUUACUAAGGAACAUCGAUUCCAAUCGUACGUAGCAACAUGAGGUCCAAGAUGGCUACAAUAGAUUAUCCUCAAGAGUUGAUCUCGAUCGAUCUUGUGACUUGAUUCGGCCACGAAGAUUUCUCAGGGACUUGUUGUACAUCAUCUCUGACCCGUAUAUCAUCUCUUACUAUCGUCUCUACUUACAGAGAGCUUUU
rnacentral:lncRNA from 1 species